UAUUACAGUCAGAGUGCAACUAUGGAUAACUUCCCAUUGCUACUUGCAAUAACGUUAUAAAAAAUAUUAAAAGAAAAAAGCCUCGUAAAAAAACACAGUUUGGGUUAAGGAAUGCUUAAGAAGACUAAAGUAGCGCUUAUUAUGGCUUAAUUGCUCAGAGAUUUUUGAAGGUUUUCGACGUUAUUUAAGAAUGAAUACUGCAGCUUUUGAGAAACUUGUGAAAUUGGUUGGACCGAAGUUGGUCAAGCAAACAACAAUGAAAACACCGAUUCCCCUGAAGAAAGAUUAGCUAUUACUUUUCGUUUCUCGACUACUAGCGAGUCGCAUGAAAGCCUAAUGUAUCAAAUUUUGAAUCCAUAAACAGUUCAUACCUGAACUGUUUAUGGAUUCACAGUUCAUACUUGUUGUUUGUACAGAGAUAUAUAAUAAAUUGAGAGAAAUCUACUUAAAGUUCCCAGUACCAGGAAGGAGUGGGAAGAGUACGAACUUGAAACAAGGUGACGCUGGUGGUUUCCAAAUUACUUUGAUGCAGCUGACGGCGAACAUGUUGCUAUUAUUCAUCCAGCUGACAGUGGAUCAGAUUUUUUUAACUACAAAGGUUUUUAUUGCUAUAGUGUUAUUGUUAUUUUUAAACAAAACGCUGUGUUUAC